rnacentral:rRNA from 1 species
GGACCCGCACAAGUAGUGGAGCAUGUGGUUUAAUUCGAAGAUACGCGCAGAACCUUACCAACACUUGACAUGUUCGUCGCGACUUUAAGAGAUUAGAGUUUUCGGUUCGGCCGGACGAAACACAGGUGCUGCAUGGCUGUCGUCAGCUCGUGUCGUGAGAUGUUGGGUUAAGUCCCGCAACGAGCGCAACCCUCACUUUUAGUUGCCAUCAUUAAGUUGGGCACUCUGAAAGAACUGCCAGUGAUAAGCUGGAGGAAGGUGGGGAUGACGUCAAGUCCUCAUGGCCCUUAUGUCUGGGGCUACACACGUGCUACAAUGGCAUCUACAGAAGGCAGCGAAGUCGCAAGGCG